UACGAAGGGUGCAAACGUUGCUCGGAAUUAUUGGGCGUAAAGCGCACGUAGGCGGCUCUGUAAGUUGGAUGUGAAAUCCCUCGGCUCAACCAAGGAAGUGCAUCCAAAACUGUAGAGCUUGAGUACUAAAGAGGAUCGCGGAAUUCCCGGUGUAGAGGUGAAAUUCGUAGAUAUCGGGAGGAACACCAGUGGCGAAGGCGGCGAUCUGGGUAGAUACUGACGCUGAGGUGCGAAAGCGUGGGGAGCAAACAGG
rnacentral:rRNA from 1 species